rnacentral:rRNA from 1 species
CAGCCGCCGCGGUAAUACAGAGGGUGCAAGCGUUAAUCGGAAUUACUGGGCGUAAAGCGCACGUAGGCGGACAUUUAAGUCAGGGGUGAAAUCCCGGGGCUCAACCCCGGAACUGCCUUUGAUACUGGGUGUCUAGAGUAUGGAAGAGGUGAGUGGAAUUCCGAGUGUAGAGGUGAAAUUCGUAGAUAUUCGGAGGAACACCAGUGGCGAAGGCGGCUCACUGGUCCAUUACUGACGCUGAGGUGCGAAAGCGUGGGGAGCAAACAGGAUUAGAUACCCCAGUAGUCCCUGUCUCUUAUAC